rnacentral:rRNA from 1 species
CGAGGGUGCAAGCGUUAAUCGGAAUUACUGGGCGUAAAGCGAGUGUAGGCGGCUAUUUAAGUCGGAUGUGAAAGCCCCGGGCUCAACCUGGGAAUUGCAUUCGAAACUGGGUAGCUAGAGUUUGGUAGAGGUAAGUGGAAUUCCAGGUGUAGCGGUGAAAUGCGUAGAUAUCUGGAGGAACAUCAGUGGCGAAGGCGGCUUACUGGACCAAAACUGACGCUGAGGCUCGAAAGCGUGGGGAGCAAACAGGAUUAGAUACCCGUGUAGUCC